rnacentral:misc_RNA from 1 species
UUUCCGUAGGUGAACCUGCGGAAGGAUCAUUACCUAGAGUUGUAGGCUUUGCCUACCAUCUCUUACCCAUGUCUUUUGAGUACCUUCGUUUCCUCGGCGGGUUCGCCCGCCGAUUGGACAAACUUAAACCCUUUGUAAUUGAAAUCAGCGUCUGAAAAAACAUAAUAGUUACAACUUUCAACAACGGAUCUCUUGGUUCUG